UGGAAAUGAUGUAACAUUAAUCUCCUGACAUGACGCGUGGAGGCACAAACUGAUUUAAUGAGGCUGAUCC
rnacentral:snoRNA from 1 species